rnacentral:tRNA from 1 species
GGGCUCGUAGCUCAGUUGGCUAGAGCGCGCCCCUGAUAAGGGCGAGGUCGGAGGUUCGAGUCCUCCCGGGCCCA